GACGAACGCUGGCGGCGUGCUUAACACAUGCAAGUCGAACGGAAAGGCCCUGCUUUCAGGGUACUCGAGUGGCGAACGGGUGAGUAACACAUGGGUGAUCUGCCCUGCACUUCGUGAUAAGCCUGGGCAACUGGGUCUAAUACCGGAUAGGAGCCAUUUUUAGUGUGAUGGUUGGAAAGUUUUUUCGGUGUUUGAUGAGUUGGCGGGCUAUCGGCUUGUUGGUGGGGUAAUGGCCUACCGAGGCGGCGGCGCGUGGCCGGACUGAGAGGGUGGACGGCCAAAUUGGGACCGACAUGAGGCCCAGACGCCGAAGGGAGGAAGCAGGGGGGAAGCUUGACGGAUGGGCGCAAGGCGGGUGCAGAGAGGCUGCGUGGGGGAUGACGGCCUUAGGGUUGUAAAAUACUUUCGCUAGGGACGAAGCUUUUUGUGACGGUACCUAGAUAAGAAGCCCCGGCUAACUACGUG
rnacentral:rRNA from 1 species